rnacentral:rRNA from 1 species
CACUUCUAAGGAAGGCAGCAGGCGCGCAAAUUACCCAAUCCUGACUCAGGGAGGUAGUGACAAGAAAUAACAAUAAACCGGCUUAUGCCGGUUUAAUUGGAAUGAGUACAAUUUAAACAUCUUAACGAGGAACAAUUGGAGGGCAAGUCUGGUGCCAGCAGCCGCGGUAAUUCCAGCUCCAAUAGCGUAUACUAAAGUUGUUGCAGUUAAAAAGCUCGUAGUUGGAUUUCUGUGGGGACGGAGCGGCCGGCCGCAACACGCGGUUCGAGCUAGCGCUUUCCCUACAUCCUGCCGCGAACCGUGCUACCAUUAGUUUGGUGGCGCCGGGGAUCGGCUCGAUUACUUUGAGAAAAAUAGAGUGUUCAAAGCAGGCCACAUGCCUUGAAUAAGUUAGCAUGGAAUAAUAACUAAGGACUUCGGUUCUAUUUUGUUGGUGUUCGGGACUGAAGUAAUGAUUGAUAGGGACAGUUGGGGCGGUCUGUAUUCCAAAGCGAGAGGUGAAAUUCUUAGACCUUCGGAAGACAAACAGCUGCGAAAGCGUUCCGCAAGGAUGUUCCCUUUGAUCAAGAACGAAAGUUGGGGGAUCGAAGACGAUCAGAUACCGUCGUAGUCUCAACUAUAAACUAUACCAGCUAGGGAUCGGCCAACGUUAUUCUAUACCGACUUGGUCGGCACCUUAUGAGAAAUCAAAGCAUCUGGGUUCCGGGGGGAGUAUGGUCGCAAGGCUGAAACUUAAAGGAAUUGACGGAAGGGCACCACCAGCCGUGGAGCCUGUGGCUUAAUUUGACUCAACACGGGAAAACUUACCAGGUCCAGACAUAGUAAGGAUUGACAGAUUGAUAGCUCUUUCUUGAUUCUGUGGGUGGUGGUGCAUGGCCGUUCUUAGUUGGUGGAGUGAUUUGUCUGGUUAAUUCCGUUAACGAACGAGACCCCAGCCUGCUAAAUAGCGCGUGUGAGCUUUGCUCGCAGCGAGCUUCUUAGAGGGACUAUGAUGCGCGAUAGCACAUGGAAGUUUGGGGCAAUAACAGGUCUGUGAUGCCCUUAGAUGUUCUGGGCCGCACACGGGCUACACUGGCGCCUGCAACGAGCAUAUCAGCUGGCCCGAGAGGGUCUUGGCUAAUCUUUUGAACCGGCGCCGUGCUUGGGAUUGACCUUUGCAAUUGUUGGUCAUGCAACGAGGAAUGCCUUGUAAACGCGAGUCAUCAGCUCGCAUUGAAUACGUCCCUGCCCUUUGUACACACCGCCCGUCGCUCCUACCGAUGAAUGUUCCGAUGAAAUUUUCGGAGAGUGCCUGUGAACUUGGCUCUGCCUUGCGAACGGGAAGCUCAAAGUCACUUAAAUCUGAACAUU